GCCCCCAUAGCUCAGCGGUCAGAGCAGGCGACUCAUAAUCGCUUGGUCACUGGUUCAAUCCCAGUUGGGGGCACCA
rnacentral:tRNA from 1 species